CUCACACACUGUUCUGCACUGCUCUACUUUCUGUUCAUCCCACUUGGGCCCUGAUGCUCUGCUCUCCAUGGAUACCCUCCUCACCUUGCUGGGCUCCAGCACCUGGUGCUUGGCCACUGUGGCCUGUUUCCUACUUCACCCACUGCUGGUGCCUACCUUGGUCAGCUCUAUCUAACGGCUUUUGAACCAAAAGAAGGGGAGAAAAGAGAAGAGAAGGGAAAGGACAGGGGGAGACUGGAAAUGGCUUUUGACAGAGCUUACUCAGGCCAAGUCACAAACUCAGGGCCAUCAUUCUCGGAAUGAUUUGAACAUUUAGUCAACAUUUCAA
rnacentral:lncRNA from 1 species